GACGAACGCUGGCGGCGUGCUUAACACAUGCAAGUCGAACGGAAAGGCCCUGCUUUUGUGUGGUGCUCGAGUGGCGCACGGGUGAGUAACACGUGAGUAACCUUCCCUGUACUUUGGGAUAACUUCAGGAAACUGGGGCUACUACCGACUAGGAGCUCCUGCUGCAUGGGGGGGGUUGGAACGUUUCGGCGGUUGGGGGUGGACUCGCGGGUUAUCAGCUUGUUGGGUGGGUAGUGGCUUACCCAGGCUUUGACGGGUGGCCGGCCUGGGAGGGUGACCGGCGACAUGGGGACUGCGAUACGGCCCAGAGUCCUAUGGGAGGCAGAAGGGGGGAACAUGGCACAACGGGCGGAAGCGUGAGGAAGCAACGCCGCGUGUGGGAUGACGGCCUUCGGGUUGUAAACCGCUUUAGCUUGUGACGAAGCGUGAGUGACGGUAAUGGGUAAAGAAGCACCGGCUAACUACGUG
rnacentral:rRNA from 1 species